UUUUUACUUCUAAAAAAUUAUCCUUUAAGUGAAGAGACUUAAAUAAAAUAAAAAGACAAAAAGACCCUAUUGAGCUUUAUUUCAUAAGUUAAACUUCUAUAGCCUAUGCAAAAGAACCUUACCUAUAGAAAUUUUGUUGGGGCGACAAGAGAAGACCUAAAUCUUCUCUAUACUACAAGAAUAUUCCUCUACUAAUGAUCCGCAAUUAACGAUUAACAGAACCAGCUACCAUAGGGAUAACAGGCUAAUCUUCUUUGAGAGCCCAAAUUGACAAGAAGGAUUGGCACCUCGAUGUUGGCUUAGGAUACCUGAUAGAUGCAGAA
rnacentral:rRNA from 1 species